UACGUAGGGACCGAGCGUUGUCCGGAAUCAUUGGGCGUAAAGAGCGUGUAGGCGGCUCGCUAAGUCUUGCGUGAAAUCUCGGGGCUCAACCCCGAGCGGUCGUGAGAAACUGGCGGGCUAGAGGUGCGGGAGAGGAGAGUGGAAUUCCUGGUGUAGCGGUGAAAUGCGCAGAUAUCAGGAAGAACACCAACGGCGAAAGCACUCUGCUGGGCCGACACUGA
rnacentral:rRNA from 1 species